AGAGUUUGAUCCUGGCUCAGGAUGAACGCUAGCUACAGGCUUAACACAUGCAAGUCGAGGGGCAGCAUGUUGGUUGCUUGCAACCAAUGAUGGCGACCGGCGCACGGGUGAGUAACGCGUAUCGAACCUGCCUCACACACGGGAACAGCCUUGCGAAAGUAAGAUUAAUGCCCGGUGGCCUUAUAUGGUCGCAUGAUCGUAUAAGUAAAGAUUUAUCGGUGUGAGAUGGCGAUGCGUCCCAUUAGCUUGUUGGCGGGGUAACGGCCCACCAAGGCAUCGAUGGGUAGGGGUUCUGAGAGGAAGGUCCCCCACAUUGGAACUGAGACACGGUCCAAACUCCUACGGGAGGCAGCAGUGAGGAAUAUUGGUCAAUGGACGAAAGUCUGAACCAGCCAAGUAGCGUGCAGGACGACGGCCCUCUGGGUUGUAAACUGCUUUUAGUUGGGAAUAAAACGCGGUACGUGUACCGCCUUGUAUGUACCAUCAGAAAAAGGACCGGCUAAUUCCGUGCCAGCAGCCGCGGUAAUACGGAAGGUUCGGGCGUUAUCCGGAUUUAUUGGGUUUAAAGGGAGCGCAGGCGGACUUUUAAGUCAGCUGUGAAAUCUGGCGGCUCAACCGUCAGACUGCAGUUGAUACUGGAAGUCUUGAGUGCACACAGGGAUGCUGGAAUUCAUGGUGUAGCGGUGAAAUGCUCAGAUAUCAUGAAGAACUCCGAUCGCGAAGGCAGGCAUCCGGGGUGCAACUGACGCUGAGGCUCGAAAGUGCGGGUAUCAAACAGGAUUAGAUACCCUGGUAGUCCGCACAGUAAACGAUGAAUACUCGCGAUUUGCGAUACAGUGUAAGUCGCCAAGCGAAAGCGUUAAGUAUUCCACCUGGGGAGUACGCCGGCAACGGUGAAACUCAAAGGAAUUGACGGGGGCCCCACAAGCGGAGGAACAUGUGGUUUAAUUCGAUGAUACGCGAGGAACCUUACCCGGGCUUGAACUGCCAGUGACGGUAGCAAGAAAGCUACUUUCUUCCGAACCUGGUGGAAGUGCUGCCAGGGUGUCUUCCACCCCUUGCCCUGAGGGUGCGGCUUAAUUGCCUAACAAAGCCACCCUCAUUCUCCUUUUCCCUCCAGGAAAACUGGGCCCUCCCGGGAACUGCCACCUAAAAAUUGAGGAGAGGGGGGAUGAGCCAAAUACACACGGCCCUUACGUCCGGGGCUACACACGUGUUACAAUGGGCGGUACAGAGGGCAGCCACUGCGCGAGCAGGAGCCAAUCCUCAAAGCCGUUCUCAGUUCGGACUGGAGUCUGCAACCCGACUCCACGAAGCUGGAUUCGCUAGUAAUCGCGCAUCAGCCAUGGCGCGGUGAAUACGUUCCCGGGCCUUGUACACACCGCCCGUC
rnacentral:rRNA from 1 species